UACGGAGGGUGCAAACGUUGCUCGGAAUUAUUGGGCGUAAAGCGUGCGUAGGCGGUCCGGCAAGUCGGAUGUGAAAGCCCUCGGCUUAACCGAGGAAGUGCAUUCGAAACUACCGGACUUGAAUACCGGAGAGGGUGACGGAAUUCCCGGUGUAGAGGUGAAAUUCGUAGAUAUCGGGAGGAACACCAGUGGCGAAGGCGGUCACCUGGACGGAUAUUGACGCUGAGGCACGAAAGCGUGGGGAGCAAACAGG
rnacentral:rRNA from 1 species